CACACAAUCAAAACUGGCUGGAAAACACACAAAGGCAGGAAGUGAGGUGAUCUGAAAUGAGAAGAGAGCGCAGCCAUCCAGUCUUAACACUUAAAUAGAGGAAACAUUGUGCAUUCUUCAGAGUUGCAACCCACCGAUCGGUCCUGACAUGCACACAAACACAGCCUCACUCUGACGGCGGCGAGGAGUUGCUGGACCCUCCACUCUUACCAGCCAGUAACCCCGCUCAGAUGCAAAUUCAAAUGUCAGCUUCCUUUCUUCUCAAAGGCGAUGUCAGCUCGGUGAAUGAGUGGGAUCUUAAAAUCAGGUUUCCUCUGAGAGGAUGAACAAGUGUGCCGCUGAGUUAACUGUUCCGGCAUGUAGAAACAACGGGUUAAGCAAAGCAGGUUAUUACAGCAGAGCAUGAUGUUGUUAAACUGCUUGAUUUAUUUGGUGACUCAGAUCAAAUUGCUGCCGAUUGUACCAAAUUAAAGCCUUCUGUUCCAACGUCAAUAAAACUGCUCCCGGGCUGUUACAGAUUGAAUAAUAAAACAAAAUGGUAAAUCAAGAUUACUGUAAUGCCAUCUAAGCCAAGGAGAAAUCUGGCAUGUGAUCCUUUGUUCAUCUAUGGCUGCUACUGUUAUCUAUACUAGCUAUUGAGCCACCAGGUAUUGAUGACACAUGUUAUGAUCAUGGAUAAUUUAUAUGUCAUGUAAAGUAUAUUGGCUUACUCUGUUGUGUUGUUCCCUUAUGUUUAUCGUUGCUGCAAUGCCAAAACUGAAACUAUAGUCAGAUCUCAUGUUCCAGUCCUGCAUGUUUAAAGCCUCUAAACACCCACACAGGUGUUUUCAGUUAAUCUG